ensembl:lncRNA
UUCCCACUCUAUGUGUGUGGCCCUCUCGCUGGAUUUCAAACAUGAUGAGAGCGUGAUGCAGGGGUGGGCAGCGUGCAUGUGGAAAUGGGGGUCCGGAAGUGCCGCUUCUGAGACGCCGUCUGUGAUGGGAGCCUGGAAGCCGGGUGAGGAAGUGGUGCGUGUUUUAAGACCAUGGUUAUGUUCCUGCCGAGAAGGAUCCGACUCUGAGGCAUUGUCAUUGAGGAUGUGGCAGACACGAGGGGUGGGGAGCUCAAGGCCAUUGCUUCGGAGCGAUGAGAGUUGGCGCUGCAGAGAGCAGGAACCAAAAUCUGAAGCCCCAGUGGUCCCCAGAUACACUGAGGUUCACGGCCAAACACGGGCCCAGAGCCCUGACCAGAACCACUGAUGGUGUGACUGGUGGGACCAGAG